UNUUAAGAAGGACCAAGGGAACAAGAUAG
rnacentral:piRNA from 1 species